AACGCUAGCUACAGGCUUAACACAUGCAAGUCGAGGGGCAGCGAGGGAGUGCUUGCACUUCUGUCGGCGACCGGCGCACGGGUGAGUAACGCGUAUGCAACCUACCUAUCAGAGGGGAAUAACCCGGCGAAAGUCGGACUAAUACCGCAUAAAACAGGGACACCGCAUGGUGAUAUUUGUUAAAGAAAUUCGCUGAUAGAUGGGCAUGCGUUCCAUUAGGUAGUUGGUGAGGUAACGGCUCACCAAGCCGACGAUGGAUAGGGGAACUGAGAGGUUGGUCCCCCACACUGGUACUGAGACACGGACCAGACUCCUACGGGAGGCAGCAGUGAGGAAUAUUGGUCAAUGGUCGGAAGACUGAACCAGCCAAGUAGCGUGAAGGAUGAAGGUUCUAUGGAUUGUAAACUUCUUUUAUACGGGAAUAAAACCUCCCACGUGUGGGAGCUUGUAUGUACCGUAUGAAUAAGCAUCGGCUAACUCCGUGCCAGCAGCCGCGGUAAUACGGAGGAUGCGAGCGUUAUCCGGAUUUAUUGGGUUUAAAGGGAGCGUAGACGGGGGAUUAAGUCAGUUGUGAAAGGCUGCGGCUCAACCGCAGCACUGCAGUUGAUACUGGUUUCCUUGAGUGCGGUUGAGGUGUAUGGAAUUCGUGGUGUAGCGGUGAAAUGCUUAGAUAUCACGAAGAACUCCGAUUG
rnacentral:rRNA from 1 species